UACGUAGGGCGCAAGCGUUUGUCCGGAAUUAUUGGGCGUAAAGAGCUCGUAGGCGGUCUGUUGCGUCUGCCGUGAAAACCCGAGGCUUAACCUCGGGCCUGCGGUGGAUACGGGCAGACUAGAGGUAGGUAGGGGAGAACGGAAUUCCCGGUGUAGCGGUGAAAUGCGCAGAUAUCGGGAGGAACACCGGUGGCGAAGGCGGUUCUCUGGGCCUUACCUGACGCUGAGGAGCGAAAGCGUGGGGAGCGAACAGG
rnacentral:rRNA from 1 species